CUGUCUAAGAUUAGCCUGCAUGUGUAAGUAUAAAUAUUUCAACUUUGAAACGGCAAAGGGUUCUUUAUUUCGGUUAUAGUUAAUUGAAGAAAAUGUACUACUUGGAUAACCGUAGUAAUUCUAGGGUUAAUACUGGACAAUUCCCUCGACUUUGAAAAGGGGAGUUAAUUAAAAUGAAAACCAUAUGCUCUGGCAUGUAGGGAGAAAAAAUAACCUUUCUUAUCGAUGGUUGAAAUAACGAUAGUUCUUUAAGUUUCUGCCCUAUCAGCUUUCGAUGGUAGUGCAUUGGACUACCAUGGCAGUAACGGGUAACGAAAAAUUGGGGUUCAAUUUCGAAAAGGAAGCCUGAAAGACGGCUACCACUUCCAAGGAAAGGCAGCAGGGCGCGAAAAUUACCCCAAUCCCUGACAUAGGAAGGAAGGGACAAUAAAUCCCAAUGCGGAACUUUUUAGUUUUUGCAAUUGAUUUGAAAACAAUGUAAAAGAGUAUAUCGAUAACACAAUUGAGAGGGAAAGUCUGGCCCAGCAGCCGCGGAAUCCCCAGCUCCAUAUAGGUAUAUAUUAACGUGUGUGCGCAUAAAAAAAAGCCUCAA
rnacentral:rRNA from 1 species